GUGACAUAUACUAUGCGGAGUCCAUUUUCCAUCAUCAACCAUGAAUGUAAGAAAUUCAUGGGCUUCAGAGAUGGUCUGUCCAUUGAGGAAAUGGGGUUAUUGGAACAAUCUUCUCUAAUGGGUUGAUGAAAAUCUAUGUUUUUAAAUCAGCAGUAUUUUUAAGAAACUAAAAUAAAAUAGUUGGACACAUAGUGCA